GACGAACGCUGGCGGCGUGCUUAACACAUGCAAGUCGAGCGAUGAAAGCCUUAUGAACUAUUCGUAGUGAUUGAGGCCGGAUUAGCGGCGGACGGGUGAGUAACGCGUGAGCAACCUGCCUUAAACAACGGGAUAGCCUCGGGAAACCGGGAUUAAUACCGUAUGAGACCCCGCCUUCACAUGAAGAAGAGGUUAAAGAUUUAUCGGUUUAAGAUGGGCUCGCGUCUGAUUAGCUAGUUGGUGAGAUAAAAGCCCACCAAGGCAACGAUCAGUACCCGGCUUGAGAGAGUGAACGGUCACAUUGGAACUGAGACACGGUCCAAACUCCUACUGGAGGCAGCAGUGGGGAAUAUUGCACAAUGGAGGAAACCCUGAUGCAGCGACGCCGCGUGAGCGAUGAAGGAAUUCGUUUCGUAAAGCUCUGUCCAAGGGGAAGAUAAUGACAGUACCCUUGGAGGAAGCCCCGGCUAAAUACGUGCCAGCCGCCGCAGUAA
rnacentral:rRNA from 1 species